rnacentral:rRNA from 1 species
GAUGAACGCUGGCGGCGUGCCUAAUACAUGCAAGUCGAGCGAACAGAUGAGGAGCUUGCUCCUCUGACGUUAGCGGCGGACGGGUGAGUAACACGUGGAUAACCUACCUAUAAGACUGGGAUCACUUCGGGACACCGGCGCUAAUACCGGAUAAUAUCUUGAACCGUAUGGUUCAAUAGUGAAUGACGGUUUUGCUGUCACUUAUAGAUGGAUCCGCGCCGCAUUAGCUAGUUGGUAAGGUAACGGCUUACCAAGGCGACGAUGCGUAGCCGACCUGAGAGAGUGAUCGGCCGCACUAGAGCUGAGACACGGUCCAGACUCCUACGAGACGCAGCAGUAGGGUAUCUGCCGCAAUGGUCGAAAGCUUGACGGAGCGACGCCGCGUGAGUGAUGAAGGUCUUCGGAUCGUGAAACUCUGUUAUUAGGUAAGAACAAAUGUGUAAGUAGCUAUGCACGUCUUGACGGUACCUAAUCAGAAAGCCACGGCUAACUACGUG